rnacentral:lncRNA from 1 species
AAACAUUUCAUUUCAUUUUCUUAUAUUAUUAUUUUGAAAAUAAUAUUCUUGUGUCCAAUGUGUCAUGCUAAUAUAUGACCUUAGUACUUGACAAUGCAUGACUUAUAUGUGACUAUGAUGCAUGACCAAUGCAUAUGCCACUCAUUGAUUGACAACUUGGCCACAAUUAUGAAGUUCCAAAAUAACAAAGUUCAUAAAACAUUCAAAUUUCAAAAUUUACUUCUAAAACUAUUAUCAAAUCCUUUUCAUCUUUAUCAAACUGAAUUAUUAUGAUAUAUUGAAACUACAGCCCAAUUGCCAAAAAGCAUUUCCAAUUUGUAUAAUUUAAUAAAUGCAAAACCUUCAUCACUAGUAAGUGACUUAUCAUGUACAAAUAAAAGAAAUUAAUAAAAGACAAUCAAGAAUUGUAUACUUACCAAGUCGCUUGACUGAUUAUUAUGAACCUAGGCUCUUAUUACUAAACUUCUACUUUGAUUUCAGAUGUAAUUCUAGCAUAUACUAAACCAAACAUCAUCACAUUAUUUCACAUCAUAUAAUACAAUAUCAAAUAUAGCUAAAUAAUACUCAUGCCAACAUAGUAGUAAAAAUAGUAAUAAUAGUAGUAAUAAUAAUAACAACAACUACAACUACAACAACAGUAAUAAUAAUAAUAAUAAUAAUCAAAAAAUAAAUAAUAAUCACGUAGUAAGGUAAUUUAAGUAUCAACUCACAAACUUAUCGUUAUUCUCAAGUUUUAUUGCUCUAAAGACACUUAUGCAGCAAGUUGGAUGCGACCCAAAUAAUAGAUAUUAAAAUUAAAAUGUGCUCCUAUACAUCAAGAUCUUAAUGUUAUACUCCUUUUUUGCACCUUGAUGUGUUGUCCAUUUCAUACUUAAAUAUUACUUACCUAAGACUUUGAUCUAUCUCAGGUUAUGCCUAAAAUUGUUCAUUCACAUUUCAUGUCCUUAUAAAAUUUAUUUUUAACAAUCUGAACGCUAAAAUGAUGUUAUUUUGCAAUCAUUCAUUUCAUUUUCUUAUAUUAUUAUAUUGGAACUAAUGUCCUUGUAUCCAAUGUGUCAUCCUAAUAUAUGACCUUAGUACUUGACAAUGCAUGACUUAUAUGUGACUUAGAUGCACGACUAAUGCAUAUGCGGUUGAUUGACUGACAACUUGGAUUUUAAUAUAUCUCGAGUUACAUCUAAAAUUGUUCAUUCAUAUUUCAUGUCUUUUUCAAAUUCAUCUUCAAUAUGGACUGUAAAAUGAUUGAGUUUUUAACAAUCAUUUGAUUUCUUUUUUUUUAUUAUUAUUUUGAAACUAAUGUUCUUGUGUCCAUAUAUGUCGAACUAAUAUACAACCUUCAUAUAUGACAAUGAAUAAUUUAUAUGUGACUCUAUGAUACAUGACAAAUGCACAUAUGAAGUCAUUGAGUGACAACCUAGACACAAGUAUCAAGUUCCAAAAUAACAAAAUUUAAAGUAAAUAUUCAAAUUUCAAAAAGUACUUUUUAAAAAAAUAUGUCUCUUUAUCAAAUUGAUUUAUUAUAAUCAUAUUGUAACUAAAGCCCAUACUUUUAGUCCAUAAGAAAAAUGUUGCAGAAUCGUAGACAACCCUUGCAUAAUAGAAAAUAUAAGUACUUAGCAUCCAAAUCAAUUAUGCAAUCAGUAAAUUCAAUGAAUCCUGACUAAUUACUUAAAAGUCUUUGCUAUUGUUGAAAAUAUGAUAAUUCAAAAGCACAUUAUCAUUUUUUUUUAUCAAAGAGGCACCAACAGGCUGAAGGUGUUGUUGGUUCUUAGACAGUACCUUUAGGUGCUUAUCUUGGAGACAAGAAAAAGAAGCUUCUGAUUUCUAGCAAAUUGACUAUAUAUGCAGGUUUUAUUGAAGAGUUGUGACCAAGAAUAUAAUAACAGUUUAACAGCAUAACAUACCAAAGCUACUUCAAUAUGACCGAUGCAAAACCAACCAUCAUCCCUGCAACAAUAGAAAGAAGAUGCUUUUCCAGGAUGAAACAAGAAAGUUUUGAAAAGUCAGACUUCAAAACUGCAUAUCAUAAAAUGAUAUUGCUUGGAAAAGAAAACCCCACAAGACUAAUAAUCUCCAAAGAGCCACAUCAAGCAACACAAUUCAAACAAGAAUGCAAUUAAUUUCCUAUUGAACAACAUUUUAUAGAACCUGAACUUAAAAUUAUCCAACAUUUUAUUAACUUGUCAAUUUUUCCAUGAACUUCUUUUAAAUAUUCUCCCUCAUCAUACAAAAUCUUAAAGUAAACAAGAGAGAUCCAAGUUCCUUAAGAACAUUAACUUAAAUAAAUUUCUUAACAACACCAUGGAAUGAUCAAAUGACUACAUUGCAUACUUUACUUCAAAAGGCAAAAUGACCCAUGUAAAGUAAAUUGAAUAAAAUAUAAAGGGCUUACAUGUCUAGGUCUUUGCUAGAGUAAAU